rnacentral:rRNA from 1 species
UACGGGGGGAGCAAGCGUUGUUCGGAUUUACUGGGCGUAAAGGGCUCGUAGGCGGCCAACUAAGUCAGACGUGAAAUCCCUCGGCUUAACCGGGGAACUGCGUCCGAUACUGGUUGGCUUGAAUCCGGGAGAGGGAUGCGGAAUUCCAGGUGUAGCGGUGAAAUGCGUAGAUAUCUGGAGGAACACCGGUGGCGAAGGCGGCAUCCUGGACCGGCAUUGACGCUGAGGCGCGAAAGCCAGGGGAGCAAACGGG